GCUGGGCAUAGGCCGGGCCGGCCGGUCCGCGGAGGCGGCGCCCGCCUGACGCGGCGGGCGGGCCCGGCGGCUGCGUCCACCGCCCGGUG
rnacentral:tRNA from 1 species